GCCCGAGUGGCGGAAUUGGCAGACGCUCAGGAUUUAAAAUCCUGUGAUUUAAUUAUCGUGCGGGUUCAAGUCCCGCCUCGGGUA
rnacentral:tRNA from 1 species